rnacentral:tRNA from 1 species
GCGGGCGUGGUGGAAUUGGUAGACACACCAGACUUAGGAUCUGGCGACUCGCGUCAUGGGGGUUCAAGUCCCUCCGCCCGCA